rnacentral:rRNA from 1 species
GUAGGUGGCAAGCGUUGUCCGGAAUUAUUGGGCGUAAAGCGCGCGCAGGCGGUUCUUUAAGUCUGAUGUGAAAGCCCACGGCUCAACCGUGGAGGGUCAUUGGAAACUGGAGAACUUGAGUACAGAAGAGGAAAGCGGAAUUCCACGUGUAGCGGUGAAAUGCGUAGAGAUGUGGAGGAACACCAGUGGCGAAGGCGGCUUUCUGGUCUGUAACUGACGCGGAGGCGCGAAAGCGUGGGGAGCAAACAGGGAUUAGAUACCCUGGUAGUCCACGCCGUAAACGAUGAGUGCUAAGUGUUAGGGGGUUUCCGCCCCCUUAGUGCUGCAGCUAACGCAUUAAGCACUCCGCCUGGGGAGUACGGCCGCAAGGCUG